rnacentral:rRNA from 1 species
UACGUAGGUGGCAAGCGUUGUCCGGAUUUACUGGGCGUAAAGAGCGCGCAGGCGGUUGAUUAAGUCGAAUGUGAAAGCCCCCGGCUCAACUGGGGAGGGUCAUUCGAUACUGAUCAACUUGAAGGCAGGAGAGGGAAGUGGAAUUCCGGGUGUAGUGGUGAAAUGCGUAGAUAUCCGGAGGAACACCAGUGGCGAAGGCGACUUCCUGGCCUGUUCUUGACGCUGAGGCGCGAAAGCGUGGGGAGCAAACAGGG